rnacentral:rRNA from 1 species
AACGAACGCUGGCGGUAUGCUUUACACAUGCAAGUCGAACGAGUAUGGCCUAGCUUGCUAGGACCCAGCUAGUGGCAGACGGGUGAGUAACGCGUGGGAACCUACCUUGUAGUACGGAAUAGCCCCGGGAAACUGGGUUUAAUACCGUAUACGCUCUACGGAGGAAAGAUUUAUUGCUAUAAGAUGGGCCCGCGUUAGAUUAGUUUGUUGGUGGGGUAAUGGCCUACCAAGACUACGAUCUAUAGCUGGUUUGAGAGGAUGAUCAGCCACACUGGAACUGAGACACGGUCCAG